rnacentral:rRNA from 1 species
UGUUACAAUUAAUUGUAAUGGUUGUAUUUUUUCAAUAAAGAAAAAAAGUCUGUGCCUGAUCUCGGAAGCUAAGCAGGGUCGGGCCUGGUUAGUACUUGGAUGGGAGACCGCCUGGGAAUACCAGGUGCUGUAAGCU